rnacentral:rRNA from 1 species
UACGUAGGGGGCAAGCGUUGUCCGGAUUUAUUGGGCGUAAAGAGCGUGUAGGCGGUUUGGUAGGUCCGCUGUGAAAACUCGAGGCUCAACCUCGAGACGCCGGUGGAAACCAUCAGGCUAGAGUCCGGAAGAGGAGAGUGGAAUUCCUGGUGUAGCGGUGAAAUGCGCAGAUAUCAGGAGGAACACCGGUGGCGAAGGCGGAUCUCUGGGCCUUACCUGACGCUGAGGCGCGAAAGCUAGGGGAGCAAACAGG